AUCCAGUUGAUGAGUCCCAAAUGGGACGAAAUGUGCGUCUUAGAA
rnacentral:hammerhead_ribozyme from 1 species